CACGUGGGGGCCGAGCGUUGUCCGGAGUUACUGGGCGUGAAGCGCGCGCAGGCGGCCCGUUUGGCCCGGCGUGAAAGCCCCCGGCUCAACCGGGGAGCGUCGUCGGGGACCGGCGGGCUUGAGGGCGGUAGGGGCCGGUGGAAUCCCCGGUGUAGUGGUGAAAUGCGUAGAGAUCGGGGGGAACACCCGUGGCGAAGGCGGCCGGCUGGGCCGACCCUGACGCUGAGGCGCGAAGGCGUGGGGAGCGAACGGG
rnacentral:rRNA from 1 species